GUUCGUGUGUGGCGGGAGGGGCCUCGCUUUGAAGACCUGCUAGCUCGGGUUAGCACCAGGGUUUCCAGGCAUGGUAGUUCUUGGCGUCUUGGCUGAGGAUGUCCGCAAUGAACUCCAGCUCCUCUGAGGGGUCGUUCAACCACUCUACCACGAUACGCCUGUGAUGCCUGGAAGACAGUUGCAAUGGACACGCCAUAGCUGAGCUGGAGUGGAAAAACAGGCUCUCCCUCUCAUUCCCGUGUGGAAGUGGUAAGUUGAAAGACAUUUCAAUUUACAUUUCUUUACAUGCACUCACCAGACUUGGUAGUUUUUCGGUUGAUCCUCAAUGAUGGCUGUAAUGUACCUCAUUUCCUCCCUCAAAUCCUUCGCCAGAGCUUGUAGCAAUACCCGCCUGUAGUGCCUGCAUGUUGCCACAAAACCGCCAGUGAUUCAACUGCCUUUCAAAAAACAUCUUGUAACAGACAGUGAACUUAAAUUAAACUGAAUUUAAAACAAUUUCCAAUCAAACUUGCCAACAACAACCUUACCACACUGUGUAAUUCGCUGCAUUCAACUCAAUGGCGUCUGCCGUCAAGGCGAAAGCUCUUUCGCUCUUUUCAUCAUUCUUCAGGAGAGCACGGAAAUAAUCAAAAACAUCAGAGACUGUUGAAAGACAGACACUAAAUUAACAAAAACAGUCAUUUAUUUACAUGUCUAUGGCGCCACUGGCUACUGAGGCACCGUUGCAUUGCAUUACAUAUCUCCAACAAACUCACACUUUUCUGAAUAAGCAAUCUUGACAACAGGGUUUGGUCCAUCAUCCUGAGGAACAGGCUCCAGGUCAGCCCACUCCUUUCUGUCUCUGAAACAAACACACCAAUAAAACUAGUUGAGACAACGAACACCGUACACGAUACCAAAUGUUAGAGAUGAAUGCAGUAGGACUUGUUUGGGGAGGCACCUGUAACUCAACAUCAACAUUUAAGUAAUGCUAAUUUUGAAAAUAGCCACAUUCAUUUAAUGUUUUUCAUACUCAAAAAGUACACGAAAGACAGUCGUCAUUCUAUGAUUUAGUUGAACUAAUAAGCAGCUACCUAGCUAAACACUUGACAUUCUGUAACAAAAACCUACCUGUAAAACAUGUACCGAGUCGGGUCCAAGACAUAGCCAUCGUCGACAUGGUCUCCCGCCAAUACAUUAAACUCACCAUCUUCUUUAAAUGUUCCAAAAUCGUUGGAAAUAUCCUCCAUACCCGACAUUGCUAACGUAUUAGCUUAUUUAUCACGUCAAUGCUCAGGGAGGAAAGAGAAGAACGUCAUUUCCGGUUCACGGGCCUGAUACCCUGGACGAUAUGUAGCGAUUCUUUUUAUUUUUUACAUAUUAUAGUGGUCGGGAAAAUUGUUCAUGUAGCCCAAAUUGUAUGUAGCUACGCUUCUGGUAUGGGUGGAAAAUGACGGCAUAUUUUAAGACAGCUGUGCGAGUCAUGAACGAGUCGUUCAUAACUCUCGUCUUCGAUUCAUCAACUCACAUACUGCCGCUUUUUAAACAGUUAACAUGUCACUAAUUGUGCAACUACUACAAUUACUGCAGUGAAAGCUUAUUAGCCCCAUGGAAAAAAACGAGUCAUAAACGAGUCGCUCAAAAAUCACGAGUCUUCAAAUGAUCGGGACUCACGGGUUCUCGUCUCCGUUAACUAGUUCACUUAUUCACUUGUUACCCUGCCACCACGACUUGGAACAAACAGUUAACUUGUCGGGCUGCACGGCGGCCACACAGCCAGGAGACCCGAGUUCGAUUCCACCCUCGGGCAUCUCUGUGUGGAGUAUUCUAACGUAUGUAAACUAAAUCAAAUAUAUUAGUCUGAAUUCAACCAAAUAAUGCUGUACAUGUAACUGUAUGGGUUUAACAAAUCAAUCACUUGCUAUAAUCAAACACUAUUGGAAAUGAGGCAAAGAAAGCUGUUGUGCAGUGUUAUGAAAUAAUUCCUCCAAAUGCACGGUCAAGCUGAACUUUAUUUCAAUCGACGACUCUGGACAUUAUAAAAAUAAAUAGAUGAUUCACAGUCAGCAUCGUAAUACAAAGUUAUCAAAAUUACGCAUCAGCCAGAAUGAAGUAUUGAACAUGCAUAAAUCAUCUUUCCAACUUAUACAUGUUGGGAACACUUGUCUGCAAUAUCUGCAAAGUCUUUUUUCCAACACCCUGCAAUUGACUGAAUAUAAAAAUCAUCUUGGAGGCUAGGCAGAUAAAUUGAAUGCUUCUUCCUGUUGAGAAUGGCGGCUUUUUGACCCAAAGUGUUCACUGACUGUCCUCUUGAUCCAAUCCGUGUUUUUCAAUAUAGCGUCUGGAAAACAAACAGGAAACGCUUGAGCAUCAAUGCUUUAUCAAGACAUCGACAACACUACAACACUCAUAAUUCCCACUUUGUAGUGAAGACUAAGUUGAUUGAGACAUUACAUUAGAUUACAUUGCAUGAAGCACUGCAAUGAGUCAGCUAUGACAUGUCCAAAAUGGUAGAGUGCUCCUCCCAUUCCAUGUCUACAGGGCUGUAAUGAUGGCAAAUAAGUCAAACAGCUUUCUGUUUAUUAAUAUUGAAAUCUAUUUACAAUUAACCGUGAUACAUGAUGGACGACUGCACUGCUAAGGACGAAGAAAUCUAACCUUCGUGCAAAACUGUACAGCGCUUCCUUCCUCUCUUGGAGAGACAAAUGCCUGUCAGCUGGUGAUUUCCCAAAAGAUUUGGCAGCAGGCUGUGAAGAAGAUGACAUGGAGUUAAGAUUGCAUUGAGACAGAAAAAGAAAAGAUAGGAAACAGUAACAUAAACAAUAAACAUAAGGCCAAACCUUUAUAGUUGGAGCAGAACCAGAACUGUGUGUGCUGUUCAUUGACGCUCCGAAUGACGACAUCGCAGUGUCUUCCAUCGAGGCUUCCUCCUUGUUCUCCAGCAGGUUUGUUAUUGUAAUGUCAACACAAUUGGUUUUUGCUGUAGAAUCAUCAAAAGGCAACUUUAAGUCUCACUGUGCAUCACAUACGUGGUUGCCCUGCGACUGGCUGGCGACCAAUACAGGGUGUAAGCGGCAGCGUACAACUGCGACCCUAAUGAAGAUAAGCGGUAUAGAAAAUGAAUGGAUAGAACUUGUGGGCUUAAUUUUCUGGCCAAACUGGACUGGAAAUGCUUCAGAUCGUCAAAUAAAUGCAAAUAUUAGCAAAUGACAACACAACUCAACAUCAAAUGCAGUUUUUAGAUGAAAAAAAUGGUGUUUUUUUUUUAGAGCCCUCAAGGAAUGAAAUAACACCCCUAUAGUCACCUUUGGUGACAUUAUAUGGGUUAUGGCCGCAACAGUAGCUAAUUGUGAGGUAAUUGUUGAAUUCCAGUGACCAGUGUGAUUAAUAUAAAUUAUGGCGUAAAUUUUCAAAGUAACAUUAUUUAUUGUGAACAUACCACAAGUGUUCCAGAUAGUAUUAGUAUGUGGCUAAAAUGACUUUAUGUCCUUUGUUCUCUGUGCUCGGGAUAUACAUUUGUAUAUGUCAGCGUGUAUUUACAAACGUUGUCCAUCAUUUCCCUCAACAGACAUUUAAUCAUUUAAGCAGCAUAAAAACUCCCUUCAGUGAGAAAGGAGCACAUGAUGUUGCAGCACAUCAAUGCAAUUACAUAAUCCAUAUUCAUAUGACUUUGGUAGAAAAGAGGACUGUGCAAGGAAGGAUGAUGUGGGAUGGACGGGUAAAAGUGUGCCGAUUGUGUUUUACUUUACCCAAGUCCUUUACAAUGACAUUCAGUGGGAUGUGAGGCAGUACGUCCUUCACUUGCUGGGCCAUCUUAGCAAUCCUACGCUCAUCUGUUCCCAUACUCGGCACCAUGAAACCCAGGCCAAUAGAACCGGGUCGCACGCCUACAAUGACCAAUACAUCAGAAUGGAAAUACAAUCUGCCAAAUUGUCUGCUCAUACAGCAGGAUGUUGAGGGAUUUGCUUACUUGAAGAUGUUUGCGGCGCAGCAUGUCGUUUCCGUUUGAUGUGCUCUGCUUUGUCGGCUUUAGUGAUCUUUGUUGAGACCAAGCCAAGUUCACAGGCUAGCAGCUGAAAGCAUGGAGACCCACCGAUGUCACACUUUAGUGAGUUGUGUGUGUGAUGCAUAAAGACACAAAAUAGUUGAAAACAAGAUGACGGCACUAAGUGUUGAUAAAUGUUUCUACUUUUGAAAUCAGCUAAAAUGUUACUAUGCUAAUCUUAGCAUGCAAAACCAAGCACGAUAAUGCUAAGUGUCUGCCAAUGUUAAUAUUAAUGAAAAUGGAUAAAAAUGCUACUAUGCUAAUGUAAACAUGCUACAUUCAGUGCUUUCAUGGACAAGUGUUACCAUGCUAAGCGUUUCUGUAGGUUUGCUAAUGACCACAAUAAUACAUAUAAAUUUAUUUAAAUAUAUAUAUUUUUUCUAACAACAGGCCAUAGUCAACCAGAAAACAUUGGCCAUUUAUUGAUUACUUUUUAAAAACCUGCAAUAGCGUGAGGGAGAGAUGUUUGGAGCGCGAUGGCGAGGGAUGACUGUAUAUCUAUAUACUGUAUAUUUAUAGAUUGAUAGAUACAUAAAUAAACUAGAAAAGACGGGAGUAAUUGCAUGGAUUGAAGUUGACUUGAGGUUAUAAAUGUCCAUAUGACUCGCUGUAGUUUACCUCCUGGACUUUGUUGGCAAAUUCCUGCGAGGAUUCACCAUCCUGUCGGGAGACUGGUGGUAACCAACUGAGGACAGAAAAGAAAAAAGUUAGGAUAUCUAGAAAAUAAUUACUUUUUUUUUUCCACAAUCAAAACAUUCCUCCUGAACAAAGUCUUAAGAAAAUUACAAGCACUCUUGCUUCCUCUUUUUGCACUUUCAUGCUCUUCUUACAAUCCGGUUCUAAUCUUUAAAGCAAAAGUAUUGUUCGGCAAGGUGUGUUUUGUUGCCCAGGUGUGUCCUGUUACAUUGAAUAUAUAAUGUACAAUGAAUGUGUACGCUACCUUUCCGAUUGGGUACAAGUUUUGCCUGUGUAGACUGCAUUUAGAGGUGGGAAAAAAAAGAAAAUUCCAGAAAAAAAUUCCUUCUUGCUCAUGUCUGCAUCUUCUGGUGUAGCCAUUGUACUUUACGUUCAUAAACUUUUCCAUAAACAGUAGAUGGUAAUAAUACCUUUACAGCUGUCUCAGUGUUUAUCAUCACCUGCUGAUGUUUUCCUUGUUCUACCCGUUCAACAUCUGCUUUUUCUUCAGGACAUUCAAAAUGGUUGUACUGGCUAUGCAUGAUGAGUGUUUGAGCAAUGAUUGUGACUGAUUUUCCAUCCUCCCUCAAGAUUCAUAAGUGCUUUUUUAAAAAUAUUGCUUUCUCGUCUCAUAUUCAUCAUUUUGUGUCAAACCCGUACGUUUUCUGUCCGCAUCAAAAAUAAAAUAAAUUGACCUCGCUGUUUCAAUACACUGGCGGGUGCUGUAGAUAGAUAUAUAAGUCUUAGAAAACACACCGGCCUCAUGACAUCGCACCUCCACACCAUGUAGAGCAACACUACACUUUAAACAUUGAGAAGAAAAAAAAUUACAUACAGUCCAUACUGUGAUGAUGUAACCACAAGAUGCUGCAGCUGAUAGUGAUAAUAAUAAUGAUAAAGUUAUGUAGUACCUUACAUGAUACACUGUAAAUGGAGCAAAAAAUGUCCAUAAAAGCUCUGUCAACCAACUGGACUCUGGUGUGCUCUGCAAAUGUAAAAACACAAAAAAGGUCAUGUGAUUUUGUGGCAUUAUAAAGUAGCCUUGAUUAUCCACCACUUUUAGUAUUAGAAACAAUGUACAGAUUGUGCAGGGCAUUCAAUUACAAAGACCUCGGUCUUUAUCGGUAAUAAAACGAUAACUGGGCAUGAAAAAUAAUGACCUGUGUUUAUGCAGGGACAGAAAAUACCAAUAUUAAAAUUACCAAAGCAAUCAGGGGUCGUGCAACCCGCAAGGCCACAGGUUGAAUGGAGUCUGUCAGCGAGAAAGGCCAGGAACUGUGGAGGAAAGAAGAGAUUAGAUGACUAUGUACAAUAUACGGAUGUUAGCCCUGUUAUCACAAACAAUUAUGGAAUCAAAUCUGGAAUGGAAGCAAACAAAACGGAGCAAGACUUUGAAGAAGUGCUAUGUUUUUAAACACAGAUUCUGGAUGAUUUGAUGCAGUAGAUCUGAAGAGAACAAGUGUAAUGUUUUCGUACUGACCUGAACUUGAGCAGGCCAGCGUGGCCGUUUGUAGUGUCCUCCUCAGGAAGCAGAAGCAAGGGUGAGGUACCGUCAGUGGAGCAGUACCUCUGAAGAGACUCUCCUAUCGCUCCCUGGCCAGGUGCCAAGCGGACUUCCAUGAAACCUCUGGCCCAACACACAAAACCUGUGGAGCCCUCCAACUGGGGCUAAUGAAGAGGAGUGUUGAUUAUUUGUCCAGGCAAAGCGAGUUUAUUUAUAGAGCUUAAUUUGUAAACAGAGCAAUUUAAAGUGCUUUGCAUAAAAAAAGAGUAAAUACACAUAAUAAAACUUAAAAUCAUUACAUUUUUGAAGAGGACUCACAGUGCAGCAGGGGGUCAGGAGGUUGAUUAUGUUGUGAUCAAACUCGGUCACGUGAUUGCAUAUAUACAGUUUGGUAUUCCUGUCUCUGGAUCGAGGAUUUUUCUGCCUCACGUGCAUCCCCAAGACCGAGCACAUAACCCUCACGAUUAACCUGUUAGA